CAUGCCUUGGAGACCAAGGACUUCUCCUUAUUCAUCACUCUUCCUGUUUACAUAUUCAAACAUUUCAGAAUUGGUAUUCUAACAUGAAAAACCAAAACCACUUUCAAUAUUUCCUCCUCUUUUCUCUUCUCUGAUUCGAACCAUCAACAAACACCACUGCAACCUCCGGCUACCACCACUGCCACCACCAUCCUUUGUCGACCACCACGGCCAACCACCCAUCCGCAACGCCGAGCUGUCUCAGUCAACCACCACCACACGCGCACCACCUUGCUCUCCUCGGUCGAACUCCCCUGCCUUCCCUUUCUUUUUUUUCCCUUACUUCACCACCCACCAAACACCACCACUGCCUACAACCACCAAGUUCCAACGGCCACCGACACCACCGCACACCCACCGUCGACCACCAUACCUCCCUUCCCCUCCUUCUUCUCCGUCGCCAUCCUCUGACCCUUCCCCUGCCUUCCUCUGUUCCUCCUCGCUGCACCACCGUGCCGCCACCACCAAACCCCAACCUCUCUCUCCGUCAUCCUCAACAACCCACCGUCACCGUCAAAUCAUUACCUCCCUCCUCCCACACCGAUUAGAAACACCCAAAACACCCAUGUUUUUCCCCUAAGUCAUGCUCUAUUCUCCCUCUCUCUCGUCGGUCUUCCAUCACAAACCACCCACCGUCGUCGCCUGAAGCGCGGGUUCGCGCUGCUGCGCCGCCCAGCCCAGUUGUCCCCUCCUCUCUUCUCUUCUCCUUCCCUUCGUGCACCCCUCCCCUGUUCCUGCCUGCUUUCCCAGGAAACCGAGAACAAAAAAAAAAAAAAAAUCAAAAUUCCUAAUUUUGAAGCCCUGACUUUUAUUUUCCCUCAAACCCAAUUUCAGGUUGGGCCAUUUCUCAAUUUGGGCUUUUUGAAAUCGGACUUGGAGCUCAGGAAGAACGAUCCAUCAAACAGGAAGUAUAGAACACCGGUUGAGGUACUGCGGGAAUCGAUGGAAACGCGUAGUUGCGAGGAAAUUUCACUUUUAUAUUAUUCACCUAGUUUAUGCUUGAUGUUUAUAAUAGUUUAAUCAAAGACUUUUAGUAAUUUAUGUACUUGUAUUUUGGGAAUAUAAAUGAUUAUUAUAUUAA